CCGCAACCUGGAAAAUACAUUAAAGAGGGGAGUUAAGAAAAUAUAUAGUAUUUAAAUAGCACUGAUCUAUCAUCUUAGAAAAGGCUUCACACUCAAAAUCUUAAUAUGCAUUAAGAACUCAUGCAAAGCAUCUAUUUCAUUUUAACCAACAGAUAAACCAGGUCCAAUGGAUGUUAAAAAAUGAGAAACAGAAAAACUAAGGAAAAAACAAAAGUUGUAGGACAAAUGAUGCCGCCCUAUCUGGAAUAACAGCCACCCAGUAGGUGGUGACGUAGCAAAGAGAUGAACAAGCAACAACUUGACAUAAAGAGGAGCUGUGAAAAAAAGGAAUCAGUUAAAAGAAAAUCAAGCAGACAAACAAUAGGAGUUGUAAUUAGUAGGUACUGUAAAUGCACUUAAUAUGUAAUCUUUUAGCAUCUUAUGUUAAGUCUUACUGUCUGCCCACAAACGUUUCUGACUGUCUGUUGUCCAACUUCCUGUCUUUAAAAUUAAGUCUGUUUGUCCAUCUGUAUGUCUGUCUGUCUCUCUGUCAGUCUGUCUGUCUCUCUGUCAAUGUCUGUCUUUCUGUCAUCUUUUUGUCCAUCCAUCCGUCCUUCCGUCUGUCUGUCUGCCUACCUAUAAUAACAGCAGAGCUAUUAGCAUUGUACCUUGGAUUGAUAUCAGGCGCCAACGAGUGCUCCAAUGUGGUCAUCAAGUUUUUACAACUAAUUGUAACUGAAACAAAAUAAAUAAAUAGCAAACAUA